rnacentral:lncRNA from 1 species
AACCCACUGAGCAAGGCCAGGGAUCAAACCCACAACCUCAUGGUUCCCAAUUGGAUUCGUUUCCUCUGCACCACGAUGGGACCUUCAGCCUAUAAUCUCUUUAAUGUGUCCCUCUUUCUCUACGUAAAUCUCAAAUAUUUUUUCUUCAUUUUUUAAAGUUUUUGAGACUAUGCCAUUUUUUACUCUCCAUCAUACCCUGAUCCAUUUUCUUGGUCUCAUCUUUAACAUUAAUGUUGUUUUCUCCCUAAUGUUUAAUGCUCUGCUUGGACCUUUCUUAGAAAGUUUAUUCUCAGGUUUCAAAUGCUUACUGCUUAUUUACACACCUGUAUAUGCGAUAUAAACUGAAAUUUUAAAAUGUCAAAAAUAAAUUUGAAUUACCUUCCCCCUAAACAUGUUUCUCCUCUUUAUUCUUGAUUUCAGAUAAUGGCACUUAAAUUUAAUAUGACAAUCAUUUGGAAAACUAUUUUACUCCUCCCUCCCUCUAAGAUAUUCAGUCAUUGCCUUAAUGAUUUUUACCUUUAAAAUUUCCUCAAAUCUGGAAAAAAUAAAAAUUAUUUUAAAAUAAAAUAAAAUAAAAUUUCCUCAAAUCAUUCUAACCUUCUUUGCCUUUACAAAACUCAUUGUUUACUCCCUCAAAUUGCUUUGUUGGACAUCUGCAACAAACCACUAACUGGUCCUACUAGUUUCAGCCUUUUAAUCUUCAGCCAAUCUAUCAUCUACCUAACCACUGGGGAACAUUAAACUAUAGCACACAAUUGACUGUUACUUCUCCCUUUGUGAAAUCUUCCAUUGGCUCUCUACUGUAUAAAAGUACAAUCCAAAUUUCUGAAUAUCAAGGAGUUCACUGGUGGCACAGCAGGUUAAGAAUCUGGUAUUGUCACUGCAGUGACUCUGUUGCUGCUAUGGUAUGGGUUUGAUCCCUGGCCCAAGAACUUCUGCAUGCCUUGAGGGCAACCAAAGAAAAAAAGAAAAAAAAGAACAAAUUUAUGAAUAUCUAAUAACUAUUUUUUCCUUUCUAUUUGGCUUUCUAAGAAAUAUCACCAACAUAUCCAAACCUGAACUCCUGACUCUUUUUUUCUGAAAAUCUGUCCAUCUUCUGGCUUCCCCAUCUCAUUUAACAGAUAUUCCUUCUCAUUUCUUCUUUGAUUAUCAGUGACAUUUAUCUUAGCCUACUUGAAGUUUAAUUUCUAAUAUGCCAUGAACUAAAUUUACAAAUUUCUAAACAUGAUAGUUUGAAUAAAAGUAACAAUAAAGGAAUGAUGAGCUCUCUUUUCACAAGGUACAUGUGGUAGUUAACUGCAUGUGUCAACAUGACUGGACCAUAAGGUGUUCAGAUAUCUGGUUAAACUUUAUUCUAGAUGUUCCUGUGAGAGUGUUUCUUGGUAAGAUUUAAUGUUUGAAACAUCAGAACAAGUAAAGCAGAUUGCUCUCUCCUAUGUGGGUGGGCCUCAUCCAAUCUGGUGAAUGCCUGACUAGAACAAAAGGAUGAGUAAGAGCAAAUUCACUCUUUGCCUGACUGCUCUGAGCUGGGACACUGGUCUUUGAAAAGACCAUUGGGACUAGACAAGAACUAAAACUUACACUGCUGGCUCUCCUGGUUCUCAGGCUUUCAGACUUGGACUGAAGUAUACCAGUGGCUCUUCUGGGUCUUCAGCUUGCCAACUACAGACACUGGGGACUAUAGUACAUGCAUGCACAUAAAGUACAUGGGCUCUAGUUCAUAGGAUAGGAGCUAGGGCUUUUCUGGUGUGUUUGUGUGUGUGUGCACAUGCGAAUGCAAACUAUAUGUAUGUAUUGAUUGAUUCAUUUCUGUGUUGCAGAUAAUUUAGAGGACUUUAGAUAAAUUAAUAUGUUCUUACAUAAGUUCUGAGAAGUUUCAAAUAUAGAAUACUUCAAAGUGUUUGUAGGUAGAAUAAUUUUUACGUAACACAGCGGGGUGUCUAAAAAGAAAUAUAAUAGCAUAUAUUAUUCUCAUUUGUUUCUCACAAUAAUCCUUGGGCCAAACUGCUUCCUUAGCAAAUUAACAAAUCAGAUGGUUUUUUUCCUUUGGUGCCUUUUAAGCAAAUGCUUCUCAAGGUUGGAUAUAAUCUUUUUUAAGAUUCAUGCCAUCCCAGGCUGCCAUUUAUUUUUAUUUUAAUGAAAAACUAAUUACAAUAACUAAAUCAAACUAAAGAAAAUUAAUUUAAUGGAUUUUUUAAUGUGCAAAUUUCUUUUCCCCAUCCCAGACUUUUCUCUUACUAUGUUAUAUAGUCACGGUUUGCCCUCAAUUUGGGGUUCUGGACUUCUGAUUUCAUUAUAGUAGUCAAAAACCUGGGUCAGAAAAUUUCAUAUGGUUUAAAGUAAACAUCAUACUUUGCUCCAAAGGGCUUUUUAUUUCAAACCUGACUUCUAAUUUCAAGAAAAAAGUAUAUAAUAAUUGCUUUAAGAAAUGGAAAAGAAUGGCUGAGUUUCAGAAAAAUGAAGAUGACAGAUGAUUUCUUAUACUUUCUAACAAAUGAUUAUACUUACAGGAAAUUAUUUCUUAUAUGUCAAUGUAUGCUUGCUUGCUUAUUUAUUUAUGUAUUUAUAAUUGUGGUACAAAACACAUUAAUAAAACCAUUUAUCCCUCUCCGAUUCCUCUGUCAACCAUCAUUCUAUGUUCUUUUUCUAUAAAUUUGGCUACUUUAGAUAAUUCAUGUAGUGAAAUUCAUGUAUUUGUCUUUUGUAUCUCUCAUUUAUAAAUUUCCUUGAAGUUUCAUCAAUAGCCAGCUUCAGUGUUCAACCAACUGCACUAUUUUGAAGUUUUUUUCUUAUAAAAUUGAAAACUAUACACAGCAAAUUGAGUUUUAGUGCAGAGAUAAUAUGAACUUUUGUAUUCUGGAAGGGCCAGAAUUGAAUUUACAGUAUAUGAGGUAUAUUGAGUUAAUUCAACUUUAACUUCUAAGUUGAAGAAUUAUCAGGCAAAGAAUCCACUGAAAAAUCCAAAUCUGUUCUGAAAAAAGGAAAGGAGAAAAAAGAAGAGAGAAAGGGAGAAUGGAAAGGAGACACACACACAAGACAGGAGGAGAUGAACACAUAUUAAUUAUGAGGUUGUAGAAUUAGAAGUAUGAAUACGGAGAAAAUACUUAUCAGAUGGCUACACGACAUACAUAUUAACAUUAUUUCUCAGUUUGAGCAGAAAAUAUUAUAGUUCUCUAGAAAUAACUUUUAAAGUCUUGAUACUGCAUCAUAACAGAUUUUUUUAAAAAAUCUUCUGUUAUUGUUUUUGCUUUUUUGGGGAGCUGCACCUGUAGUAUAUGGAAGUUCCCAGGUUAGGGGUCAAACUGGAGCUACAGCUGCUUGCCUGCACCACAGCCACAGCAACACCACAUCCAAGCUGUGCCUGAGUACUACACCACAUCUCACAGCAAUGCCGGAUCCUCAACCCACUGAGCAGGGCCAGGGAUUGAACCCACAUCCUCAUAGAUACUAGUAAAGUUCAUCACCAGUGAGCCACAAUGGGAACUCCCAGAUUUUUUUGCGUAUGUGAAAAUGUUCAUUUUGACAUACCUUAAAAAUAAAGUCAUUCAUAGACAUGAACACAAAAUAUGGCUCUCCACAUAGAGAUAGUAAAUUAUGCAAAACCAAGAAAGAUGCAGUUGAAAUACUUCCUUGAAAUCACUUUCACAUAUUUCCAGAAAUUUUUAAGAAUCCGAUAUUCUAACUCUGGAAAGCUUGAGGGAAAAACUAUUAUAUCAUGCAGCUGACUGAUUGCAGAGUCCUUUGAAUAAAACCCAAGUACUGUUUGUAUUUCAAGUGUUUAUGAUGAGUUCUUCUCUUGUUACACAGAAACAAAACAUUUGAGGCCAUACAGUUAAAAGAGCUUUAAUAUUCUUUGGUAACACAUACACUAAAGUCAACGAAGUUGGUAUCUAAAAUAUAAAAAGAUUACCAAGGCUUUUAUUUAUGUACAAGGUAUUUUGAUAUCCUCAAAAUAUAGGAAAUAUCCUUUUGGUUUACCAGUUCUAAAUAAAAUGAUGAAAGAAAAUAUAAAUACUGAGACAUAAAUGAAUGAUUAAAUGAAUAAAGCAAACAAGCAAAAAGCUCAAAUGGGAGAUGCUAUUCUUUUCCUAUUGUUUCACUUUAAAUUUACCUCAGGACUGGAGCUCCUGUUGUGGCUCAGUGGUUAAUGAACCUGACUAGUAUCCAUGAGGAUUCGGGUUUGAUCCCUGGCCUUGCUUAGUGGGAACGAGGAUCCACUGCCAUGAGCUGUGGUGUACGUCGCAGAUGUGGCUCAGAUCCUAAUUGUUGUGGCUGUUGCGUAGGCCAGCAGCUACAAGCUCUGAUUCGACCCCUGGCCUGGGAACCUCCAUAUACUGUGGGUGCAGCCCUUAAAAGACAAAAAACCAAAAAACAAAAAACAAAAAACUGCCUGCAGGAGAACAUUCCACAAGAGGAGGAGCCAUUCCAUUUUGCUGAGGCAUUCCUUUGAAGAAUGGGCUUGAAAAAGGGACUCCACUACAAAAUAAACCUGUCUUUAGA